rnacentral:lncRNA from 1 species
CUGAAGUUCAGAUGGUCACUUGCAGGAAGAGCGCUGUUCAUUUACAAAACACAAAAUGACAAAGAAAAAAAGAAGACUUCUAGAGAUGCCGGCCUGUGCAGGCUGCAGUUUCCCUGCCUCACCAGAGCCGUUCCGUGGCAGCACAGGAAGGUCUCAAGAAGCAGCGUUGCAGUUUUGCUUUAUAAGAAUUACAGGACACCAUCACAUCCUCCCUGGCAGAUGUUUGUUCAGCCUCUCCAUGAAUACGUCCAGCAAAGGAGAGCCGGCCACCUCCCCAGAGUAAUCCCUUUACCAAUCCAGAAAUGAAAGCAGUUACUUUUUAAAGACAACUACUCCCAAAAUGCUACAUCUAGCAUGGUUAAGGGCCAUGUGGAUUGGAGAAUUCUGUUGAGUCGUCAAUCCAAAAUGUAAUUUUCAUGAACCGUGGAAGGAUAAGCCCACUAAGGCGUCUCCUGCUUUCCCCUUGUACAGUAUGCCGAGAGAGGUACAGUUGAUAAAUGCUAUUAGGAGAAGUCGUUAAUUCAGCUUUCCUGGUUAAUCAAUCCCCUGGCCCUAUAAUGAUUUUCCUCCUCUCUCUUUUGGGUCACUCUCUUCUGAACUGUCUCCAGCGGAGAGCAAGUUCCGUUGAUUAGCAGCCACACUCUGUAUGCCUAUGGGAUAUGUUCAUUUCCAGAGCUCUGUCUACUCCAGUGGAAUAGUCAAUAAGCACUUUUUUAGAUGACAGGACAGUAAUUGCCGCUAGUUAAGCGACGGAGCUUCAGGAAUACUGAAGUGCUUUGAACAGUAGGCAAGAAAACCUGGAGGAAACCCUUAGGUGACUCAAGACCUGGCCCAGGCGGUACCGCUUGGGAGUCAAUUAAAACUUCCGAUGGCAACGGCUCAUUAGGUGGCAAACAAAGUGGUCGUGUCAUGGGGAGCAGACACUGGAAAAGGCAGCUCCAAGGCCUUUUCUUUUUUCCAUGCAGGGCCAGUGAUGUCAUUUGACUUUGGCAAGGUAACUGGCAACUCCACUUUAUUCCGGCAAAAUGAAUGAGGUGAUAACAAGGCUUUCAAGUACCCCAAUAGUCUUUUGCGCAUGACAAUUUAAUGUCCAGAAGAUCAGAGAAUGCGUUUGAUGUGCAGAAGAUCAAAGAAUGAGGGAAACAGGUUGAGCCUGGGCACUUCUUUCCUAUUCUUUUAUGUCUUUUCCGCAUUACUUUAACAGUUUAAAUCAUAACCCUUGGUGUUUCAGAAUUAGAAGGCUAAACUUUUCCCCUGCUAAACGGUGUGUGUCAUUUAGCUGA